AGACUGACGCUGCGCGCAGGCGACGUCGAGGAACCCGGUGUGAGUCCGGGACGGUGCCGCCACUGUGACCCCGAGAUGGGGCAGUCAGGAACUCGGGCCUGCGCGGCCAACCAUUC
rnacentral:ncRNA from 1 species